CUCCAAGGUUGGCCGUGCACUAGGCAGGGAGGCACACCCACCAGAACAUGGACUGUUUCUCCUCUUCUUAGUGUAUUUGAUUUGUUUGCUAACUUCACUAAGGAAAGAAAUGCAGCAAUGUGCAAAGUUAGUGCUCAACAAGGUAUUCAGACUGCCUUGGCCUGCCAAACUUGGAGGGACACCCAUUGGAUGCAAAAGAUGUUCUCAGUGAGCUUGAGAGUCUUGCCCCACCCCCAAAAGAUACAAUCCCGGAAGUCAAAUUCUGAGUGUUCUGAGGUUGAGGAUUAGAGAUACUCCGGGACUUCUCUACCCCUAAAAAAGAAAAGACAUUGCACUACGGAGGAUCGUCAUUGGAUCCAGGCAUUAAGAAGAGUUCCAGUCAUCUUGAGAGAGCACCAUAAAAGGAAGAAGUGGAUGCUAGCCAUGAUGAAUUGGGAUGAAGAAUUCUCUCCUGGAGACCCAAAGGGAAAUAGGAAAAUUGGUUUGUCAAAGGAGAACUAGCUGGCAUCCUUUGCCUUCCAGUCACUAUGUGCUGAGAAAGUUUAUUCCUUAGCUGACAUCUUGACUAUGACACUCUGAAAGACUGGAUAGGCAAACUAGCUAUUCAGAAAAAGUUCUGGAAGUAACUGUUUAAAAGAAACUGAUUUGUUGUAGUUGAGGUAGAAUCAAACAAGGAACUGGAAUGGAAAGUCCCAGUCUCAGAAUCACAGAGUGUGAAUUUUGUCAAGGCUUCCUCUUCUCUUAUCCUGCAAUAUACAAAACUUAUAAGCAAGAUGUUCUGUAAAGACAUUCAAGUGGAGUGUGCAGGGUGCACAUAAUAGUUAAUGAAGAUCAAUAAAGAAGGACCUUUCUUCAAAGGUUAGUUUUAUUAAUAAACAAUAAUAAUGUCUUUUUGCCAUGUGAAGGAUGGCAUAAACGAAACUUUACCAUUCCUGUUUGACUUUCUCAAACUUUUAUAGUUCUUCAGGGGGUCUCACCCUAUUAUAUCAGAUCCAUAUCACUCUGGAUGAGAUCAAGAGCCUCUUUUCCUUCCAUGUCAACACAAAGUAUUUUCUCCCAAAAUAGUAUAUCUUUCGUCCAAUAGCUGGAAAUCAUUAAGCAUGUAGCUUGACCUCUCUUCCAGAGGAAUUUUAAUAAAAUCACCAAACUCAAAAUCACACUCUUUUUGAUAAUGAAAACAAUUCAAAGCAAUUAAAACCAUCUAAACAAAUAUUAUCUGUUGAGAUAGUGCUUCUUGAAUCUUGGGAGAUUAUUCAAUUUUUAAUAGCCCAAGAAGUCAUAAUUUGUUUUACAAGUGGACAAUGCAUUCCAAAAUUAGUUACACCUUCAAUAAAUUUUCUUAGUUCUAAGACAUCCAUUGAUUGUCAUUUGAAUUCCUGAUAACACUGUGAAUGAUCAUCAUCUGGGGGUCUUUGAUAUAUACUAACUGGAUAAAAUAAGUUCAUUUUAUAAUAACCUUUGGUUGACUUUCUCUAAUUUUAUCUUCUGUCUCUACCUGAGUAUUUUCCUUAAUUGAAAAUUUAAGAGACCUACCUGGUGGACUCAAGACACACACUCACAGGAACAUAUGAAAGCCAGUGGACAGGAAUAGUCACACAUCUGAAAGCAGACCACUCUGUUGCCAUAACUGGCUGAAGA
rnacentral:sRNA from 1 species